GUUAGUGUCUUUAUUGCUGAGGGUCCACCCGUUCCCAUUCCGAACACGGUAGUUAAGCUCAGUCAUGCCGAAAAUACUCGCCUGGACACGGGCCGGGAAAAUAGGUCGACGCUAACA
rnacentral:rRNA from 1 species